GGAAGUAGUGGACCAUUGCUAUUGGGAGUCGUUGCUAAACUAGCCUCCAGGGAAAGGAACUGAGGCAACUGCAGGGGAAGAGGGUUAAUGGGGAUCUUGAGGUAGAAAGUGAAACUAAAUUGACAUAGGAAGGGAAUUGUGGAAACAUUGCUCGUCUGGAGGACAAGGGCUCUUAUCUGAAAUUGGAAAGGAAUAUAGACUAGUGUUCAGAGGAAAGGUUGGGAGUCUGGACUCUUGGGUUCUAUUCUUGGAUCUGGCAGAAACUUAUUUUCAUCUUGAGCAUGUCCCUUACCAUCAUGAUGCCACACUUCGCCUAUCUGUAAAAUGGAUAUAUUACUUACCUAUCUGCCUUCAUGUUUGUCAACAACUUCGAUCUAAAGGACUCUGUAAAUACUUCAAGGAUUUGGGAGCUCUGGUCUGUAAAGAAUAAGCAUCAGUGGUUUCUUGCCUGCACUUAGUACUAGGCUACAGUUUGUUUGAAAAUGCUGUGUAUCUAUGUUCUUGGCAGCCUUAAAUCAGGGAAAAUGUAUUUGGGACAAAUGGCUCUUUGGGAUAGCUUUUGGAAUGUAACUGAUCAUAUGUAGCUUGUGAUUUUUCUGUGCUUGCGCUUUCUCUCUCUCUCUCUGUUUGGAGAGCAUAAACACAUGCUAAAAUAUUUGAUGGAGUUGAAUAUGUAGAUUUUCAACACCCACUCCUUUUGUCAGUUUUGUAGAACACUUCCCUCCCCUCCCUCCCCCCACUGCAAGUAUUAAUCCUUUCUAAGUCAGUUCUGUGUAACAUUGUUUACAUCUUGCAGUGAGCCCCACGUGUUCAAGGGGAGUGGCAGAAGAGACAUGACAAGGCUAUUGCUCAUUGCAGUGCUGUGUGCAAAAUAUGAGCCCCUGAGUGAUGCACUUCUGCAGCAUUCCUUUCACUGCUCUGCUUGGAUUUCAGUUUAAUUCUAUUAAUCUAAAAUCUACCUUAAAUUUAGGCAUAAAACCCAUGUUUUUUCUCUUUCGGUAAAACAGUAACUAGAUCUUUAAAUACAUUUUGCCUUUAUAUUUUUGACAAUGUAUUUGAUGUGUAUUUGUAGAAGAAAGUGGUUGAGCUUUGUGUUUCUUUUUCCCCCAGUGUUUUUCCUUUUCCCUUUCCCCUUUCCCCUGGCAUCAGCGCCACAGCACUGGAAAGAGAAUGUGUAGUGGUGAAAAACUAGCAAUUUCUCUUGUCUUCCCUUUCCCCCCAAUCAUACUGUGUGCGUGUGCGUGUGUGUGUGCUUUAACAUAAAAUACAGAGAAUUGUAUUUCUAUGUGGCAGUCUGGUAUUCCAGUACUACUUUGGGGCCUAUACAGAUGUUAUAAAUAAAUUUGAAUGUCAGCAUAAUCAGAGCUAAACAUAUCUUUCUAGCGUUGAGUCCAUGUUUAGAUAUAACAGAUUUUUGAAACUAAGAAAUCUAAAUUUUGUGUUGGGCCUUCUCUUUCUGGAUAUAAUUUGCAUUAUUUACCUGUCUUUGCAGCUCAUAUUAGUAUUGCAGUUCAUAGAUUUACCAGUGUGCCCCCGUAUAUUUGUUGGUAAAUCCCCAGAGGUAUGUGAAAUGCAUAGAUUGCCACCUUAUUCCAUGAGAACAACACAGAAAGCAGAAUGCAGUGACUUUUUUUGUAUUUAAUUAGAGCACUGAAAACCAGAGGCAAUUUUUGCCAGACAGGAAAGAAUUUCUUUACCUUUAAAUAUUCACUUAAAUCUUAAUUUAUUCUUAGAGUAGCCAGUAGUAAGAAUUUAUACAAAUUAUAUUAAUUUGCAUAAUUAUUUUUAAAGAGACAACUCAAUGGAACACAUUUUGGUUCGAAAUUUUGAACGGGCUUUUGUUCAGAAAAUUGCGUAGUAUUCUGUAAACUGUCCAGUUCUUUACUACAUUAUUAUGAGAUGGCCUUUAGUUGGACCUUUCUUUGUCUUGCUGAAGGAUGUUUCAGCUACUGAAGGAGUUAAAACACACAGACUCCAGAAAUAUUUUAUCGAGUUAACCCCCACAUGCCUUUCAUGUCCUAACUUGUGUGAAGACAUGUAGGGAGACUUUUCCCAUUGCAAACUCUGUAACCGGGUAAUAAAUGGCAACUUAAAAAUGUAAUUCCUGGUGACUGUAGACAGAAUACAGAGAUCACUUAAGCUUUCACGCUGAUUUAGCUUUUUACAGAAGAUUCUGAGAGAUUAAAGAUCUUCUAGGCUGACUGUGUUUAGUGCAGAAGAGUUUCUUAAAAUACCCAUCAAGAGCCUAUAGCAUACAGCCCAUGACUUCAGCUCCUGGAAUUAUGUGAUGACAUCAGACUCAACUUUCAUUUGAAGAAGAAAAAAAAAAUCUAUAGCUCUUAUGGUUGUAAGCAGAAGCUUGUUAACAUGAACUAAGUGCAACGGAUCUAGUGAUGUUUGCACACAGCCUGAGAGAGUAACUGGGAUAUGUGACAUGCUACAUGCAUCUCAGUAUGGUGUUAACUCUCAGAUGCACUUUGUGGGAGGCCAGACCAACACCGCCAUGGAACUGUAGGACUUGUAUAUGGCAGGAGAAAAGUGCAGCAGGCCCAGUCAACCCAUCUCAAGCAGGUACAUGCCAUAUUCUGGGCUAAAUAUGGGGUUGUGGCUGCCACCUCUACCUCUCCGGGGGAAGAGGGGACUCCUGCCUUUACAGAGGGUAUAGGGGACUCCUGAUGAGAGAAGGGAGCCCUGUGCUUCUGCCUCUCUAGAAGUGGGGUCCCUGCCACCACCACUUUUAGUGGGGUGUGGCAAAGCCAUGGGGAGCUCUGUGUCAUGUUGUGCCUAGAGCCCUGGAUUGCCUUAAUUCACCCUGUCCCAUUUCUGUGUCAAAUAGAUAUAAUCUGGAGUCUGCCUCUUGGAGUAAAAGCAUGCGUGUUGGGCCAAUUUCUGACCUCAGAUAUGUAUGCGUCUCACAUUCAAGUCAUUUGAUGUUAUAUGCUUGUGUCCAAGGGCAAAAUUUGGCCCUAAGAACAUAGAUUAGUAUGUAUUGGUCACAUUCAGCAAUCAGUUUAUACAGAUUUUUUUCAAAUAUUUCCUACUGAGAAUAACAGUUAAGCAGGUUAGUAGCAUACGGUAGCUGUAAACAACUGGUUUGACAGCCUUUCAGCAAAAACUCAGACACUGAUGCUUCAGUGGUUGCAACUGGGUUUUGUUGCCUAUGCUGCAAAAAAUGGAGGAGGAAAGUGUGUUUCCUUCAUAUGUAAGGCACAAACUUAGAAAGGUUUUGUGUUUUCAGGCAAAAUAUUGCACCAUAGACACAAGAAAAAAGCUUUGCUGUUGGUUCAUCUUGUCUUCCUGAUCAAGCAAAGUUGAAAAUUAAGAGGUGGCCCAAGCUAAUUCAGUGACUGGCUUGUCGGGUACUGUACUGGCAUGGUUAGAAUUUUUCUUUUCUGUGAUUGAUUGGAGUUGCUACCUUUUAUUUUUAAUCACUUACAUUUUUGUAGUACCUCUUACCCAGAAGAAUCUCAGAGCUCUUUACAAACUUAAACUGUUAUAGAAACUGUACAUUGAGGGUCAUGACAGCCAUCUCUGAGGUGUAAUAUUAUACCAUACAACAAUACAUAAUAGUUUAAGACAGGAAGUAGAGAGUGCCACAUCAUUUUAAACUGUAGAGGAACUUUAGGGAGGGAAAUGUAAUUGCCCAAGUUGAAAUUUGGCUAGGACAUCUGGAUCAACAUGCUACGCUUAUGAAAUGUACCAUGAAAUCUUUAAUUACCCCAAGUGAAUAGGGCUUUUGUUUAAUAUGUUGUCCAAAAAGUCUGCCUUAGCAGCACAGUGCCCCGAGCCAUGUUGGAGUAUUGUUUUUGCACUUUUCAAAAAGGAGUACCAUCUACUGAAUCACUGACAGCCUUUAUUUCAGCAUCUAGGUGUUCCUCAGUUGUCUCCCAUCCAAACAUAGAUUUAGCCCAACUCUGGUUCGCUUGUGUUUUAGUCAGUUGCCCCUCCCCUCCUUUUUUCUCCUAUCUUUUUUCUGCUGCAGUUGUAGAAAGGCUAGGCUGAAGAAAUAAGUCAUGCAUUUUAUUCUGAAGGCAGUGAGAGUUGUGGUCAUUCUUUUAAAAAAAAUUUUUUUUUUUUUUUUCAAGAAAAAUACUAAAAUAAAAGCAUCUCUGGAAAAAAGUUCUGUAAUUUUGGGCCAGUUGCUGAGAAAGCUCUGCCCUUAGUUUUCAGAUAUAUUAUGCUUGAGGUUGACAGUUUCUUUGAAGUGUAGCUGUUGAUAGAGAUCGUGGUCGCUUAGCAAGUGGUGCUUCUGUAGGUAACUUGGUCCAUUGCUAUGGAGGACCUUAAAGAUGAGGACUGCUGUCCUGUAGCUCGAUGCCUUACGAUAGUGGUUCUCAAUCUAUUUCCAUUGUGGGCCGUAUAUGCAGCUAUCUGUGUGUUAAGUGGGCUGUAUCCACACAAUAUAUAUAUUACCUGUAUGGCCCUGAGGAUGUUACAUGGGCCGCAGCUGUGUGCUGAUUGCACUGUGGGUUAAGAACCACUGCCUUACGAUAAAGCAAUCUGAGUGGAGCACAAGAGCGAUGUGCGUUUCCAUGGCUAAUAUCCCUCAGGUGGCCUGGUAUUUGAGCUGCAGCACUCAUUUCUGAGUAAGUAAAUUGCAGUAAUCCAGUCUGGGAGCCACAAAGGGGUGGAUUGCUAUAGCCAGAAUUUUUUCUGACAACAGGGUACUGCUAUCUUCUUGGUGAAAGAUGAUUUCAGCAGCUGUAGUUAUUUGAAUGUCGAGAAACAGGGAUGAAUCCAGAAGAACUUUGAGGCUGUGGACUGAGUUGCCUAUUUGUGUCCAUGCUUGCUCAAGAAUGGGAAGGUGUAUAGUAGCUAGCUCUUCAGAAUAUUUAAGACUUCCCACUUCUGAUUGUUGAAUUUAGUUUCCACCAGCUGCUUUUCUUCCAUUUGGUGAUCUCAAACAGCGAUGGGAAUAGUUGGGUGAUGGGGCUAACUAUGUCAAUGAGUAAAAGACCUGGGUGUCAUCUAUGUACUGAUGUUUAAGUCAUGAUUUUCCCAAAUAAGGUUAAUUAAGUUGUUGAAUAGAUUGGGUACUAAUGUACAGGUCUGACGGACUCUGUAGGCGAGCACUCUGAUAAGGGAGGAUAAGUUGUCCAUCACAACCCUCCAAGUGUGAUCUGUAAGAAGGGAUUACUUAUAACUCACUGUUUUCCUAGUAACCCCAUAUACCUCUUCAGGGUGGGUUAGUAGUACACUGUGGUGCACAGUGACAAGGAACUCAAAGAUCUAAUAAUAUAAGCAUAGACACCCUCUUCUGUCAUGGGACAAAAGAUCAUCCAUAAGCAUGACUAAUGCCACUUCUGUUUCAUGUCCUGGCCUGAAACAUGGUUGGAAUGGGUCCAGGAUCUUGGCAGUGGGAGGGUAUAUCAAAGAUGGCUUUUUGCCCCCCCCCCCUUUUUUUUUUUUUUUUUCCAAUUUAGUUUUCUCAGUUGGAUACUGGAUGAUAACUUGCAAUGUUCAUAAGGAUCAGUGUUUGCUUCCUUGUUCAGUUUAGGGGAUGUGGUAAGUUCCAUUUUCAUAGGGGUGGGUAGUUGUCAGGAGGAGACUUGGACAAACCUAAGGCCUGGUCUACACGGGGCGGGGGGGAGGGGGAAUCAAUCUAAAAUAUGCAACUUCAGCUACAAGAAUAGCGUAGCUGAAGUCGACGUAUCUUAGAUCAACUUAGAAUCACUUACUUUGCGUUCUUGUGGCAUGGGAUCGACGGCUGCCGCUCCCCCAUCGACUCUGCUUCCGCCUCUCGCCGUGGUGGAGUUCCGGAGUUGACGGCAGAGUGAUUGGGGAUUGAUUUAUCGCGUCUACGUUAGACACGAUAAAUCGAUCCCCAAUAGAUUGAUCACUACCCGCCGAUCCGGCGGGUAGUGUAGACGUGGCCUGAGGGUCUUUUACUAACCAAGAAGUGUCUGGGUCAGAUUUGCAUGGCUUCAGGACAUUUCUUGUUACCCAAAUAAACUUAUACAUGAACUUUAUAAAUUACCUAGUUUAAGGCACUGGUAAUAUAAGGGAACAUAAGUCUAUUUAUUCAUGGAGCUGAUAGAGCAGAAAAUCUGUAUUGGAAAGGUUUCACUCUGUGUGGGAGCUCAGCUCUGAUUCAGCCCUCCUUUGGUCUGAAAACUUAGACCUUGACUACACAGGAACGUUUUUAUAUAACUUUAUUUUUUCAGUAUAAACUGCCUUGUGUCCACACACACACGUUUUUUUUUCUUGUGUCUUAACCUGCUUUAAGUAAUCUGCUUAGGAAGUGACAUAACUCUAUCCCAGAAUGAGGUAUUAUUGGUAUAACAUUUGUGUGACUGCAACCCUGUUUUGGAUUAAUUAUACUGCUUCUAGCAGUCCUCCAAUUGCUAUCCCACACUACAUUGUUUCACACCUGGAAUGGCCUGUUUGUUUACCUGUGGACCUCUACAGCUCUGGGGUCAUCUUGACUGGAUGUUACCUUUUUCUAUUUAAAUAUUGGCAUGCAGCCAGGUGUGCCUCUUUGUAAUUCCAGCUCAUGGCAAGUUAACAAACCGAGUCACAUACCCAUUAUAGCAGCCAUGCUUCUGGAUGAUCCCAUCAGGAGGCCCUGGACUUUCUUGACUUUUGGGGAGAGGAGCACAUCCAUGUCCAUCUGAGCAGCAAUCACCAGAAUGCCAAGAUCUACUAGAGGCUGCCAGAACAAAUGCAGGAAAAAGCGGUUCUAUGGGGGCGCAGCCCAGUGCUGUGUCAAAGCAAAGAAGCCUCCGACAAAGCUACAAGAAUGCAAUGGACUAAAACAGGACUGCUUGUAAUGCUCCCAAUAGUUGCCUGUACGAAGAGGAGCUGGACUGGAUUUUUGCCAAGGAGAACACCUCUGGAGUUUUGGACAGUUUGGAGUUGAUCACGGAAGGCAUCCAAGCGACCAGAAGGAGAUUCUCCCAGACAGCCAGGGUCUCUUUGGCACACCCAACCCUGAGCCAGAGGCCCAGGCACCAAAGAUGCCACCUGAAUCUCAAAUGGGGCCCCAGCCUGAAACUGUUGAGGAAUGGAGUUGUGCCAUGCCUGAAAUGCUCUGGCCCUCACAGACAGGGAUCUUAUCAGCUGCUGAAUGCCUGGCAUACCUCUGAAGGAAGUGAAAGAGGGCAAGGAAGGACAGGUUCACUGACCUCAUGACUGCAUUCUAUCAGAGGGCCAUAAAAGCAGAAGAGGGGAGGGAAGGUUUCCUGUAGCAGUCUUGGAGGCUCUGAACAAACUGCAUGGACAAGGACGUUCAAGAGGAGGGAUGCUGGACCUAAAGGAGAGGCAAACAGCUCUGCUGGAGAACAUUGUGUUGCUAUGUUCACAGCCACCAGCCCAGCCUAGCCUGGUCCUGAUCACUGAGGAGAACACAGGAUACUGGGGAGCUCCUUUUCACUUCUCCAAAUGACAGGGCCUUCCCACACCAUUCCAUCCCAGAACAGCGAACAGUUCCUACUCUUCUACCUUUUGCUUUUUUGUGGGCCCUUAAGCACAAACUUGUGUGCACCUGGCACUCUCGUCAUGGUUCUGCCACAGUUCCACUGGUUUUAAGUUUGUAGUAUAAUGAUGAAUCAAUAAAGGUUUUUAAUAUGUAAAACUCCACUGAAAAAUGUAAUUGAGGUAUUGCUUCUCCCUAAUAAUAUCUUUACACAAACACCUUUCAUUCAUUUUCUUGGUUACAGUACACUACUUUUCCACCAGUACACUCUGGCCUGAAAGUUGGACCAAAACACACCCUUUACCCUGUUUCCCUGACUAGUUGGAGCACCUUGUGGAAAGGCAGCCUUUUUGGCUGUUCAUAAUGUACAGAAAUCUCUCCACCUCGUUCUCCCACCCACUGGUGAGGAUCUCUUGCUUGCUUUCUCAGAUGAUGAGCAAAACAGACCAAAAAGCACUUAUCUCAAUAGGCAAAGAUUGUUCAGAAACAUCCAGCCUUGGUAUGAGGCACCUCUACCUUCCCUUCAGUCUUUCAAAUGCACCUUCCACUGUCAUUCAGCAGCUCCUCAAAUAUAGUCAACAACUUCUGUCUCCUGUCCGAGUGUCCGCUAUAAGGCUUCAUGAGUCAGGGAACUAGAGAGUUAGCUGCAUCUCCCAAGAUGACAGGAGGAAUCACAGCACCAUUAAUGUCUGUAGACCUGGGAGAGAAAAUUCCCUUUUUCAGGGCAGAGGUUUUAAAUAGCCUGGCAUCAUGGAUCUUUCCAAACCAUCCCACAUUAAUAUCAGUAAACCUUGCACAAGGAUCAACCAGGGCUUGCACCAUGGAGAAAUACCCCUUUCUGUUGACAAAUUCUGAGGCCUGGUGUGGGGGGGCAAAGAAUGUGGGUCAGGGUGGUUAAAAAUUGAUGAUUUUUAAAAAAUAAAUACAGAUUUUUGUAUUUAAAUUGGAAUUUUUCUUUUUAAAAAUAAACUGUUUAAAAAUAAAUUUGAAAUUAUGUCAAUCUAUGUUAAGGCCUAAGCUGCUUAUUUAUUAAAAUUAUUUAAAUAGUGUGUGAACCCUCCUCAAAUUUGAAUGACUUGAAGGGUACAGUUAUAUACAGAAUUAGGGGGGAAAACAUCUUUAACUUUUGAAGUCAACUCAUGCUUUAUAAAUACUUCACAAUGUCAUGUACUGCAUUAAGUAUUUGUUAUUUUCAGUCUUACAGUGGAGCAAAUGCUGGUAUUUAUAUUUUUCCAAAUGUGUAAGUAUUUUCAGUUUUUGUUGUGCAGGAAAGCUUUUGCCUUAGUUACUUUUGGAUUCAAUUUAGCAAGCAGAUUCAGAAUAAAUUAACUAGUCCAAAUGAAGAAAAUAUUCUAAGUUCAGAAACAGGAAGUUUGAAAAAGCUAGAAAGCUUAUUUUCCUCUUUAAAUCUAUGAAUAAAAAACAGGUGGGAGAGGAGGGGAUGGGAUCUACUAAUUCAGAAAACUUGAAGGACCUAGACAAGCUUUUCAAGGUUAUUUAGGCACUUAAAGAUGCAAGUAGGUGCCUUGUGGUGAUCUUCAAAAAUGCCUACACCAAUUAGGUGCCUAACUCCCAUUGACUUCAAUCCGUCAAUUCACUAACUGCAGUUAUGACUUCUUUUGUUUAAUAAAUCUUUUAGUUUUAAAUGCAAAACGUGUUUUGAUAAACUUACUUUUUUUGCUUAUGUAUCCAGCACAUUUAAGGAAGCUUUAUUUAACUAGUAAAAUACAGUUUUAAAAUGUUCUUUUUGUACAUUUUUAAUUGAAUUCUAUUUUCCAUCCAAAUGCAGCUUGACACAGUUUCCAAAUUUUAAAAAAAAUCUAAUAAAUGUCAUUAAUCACUUUCUUGCAUAAUAAAAAAAAAAAGUAAAAAUUAAGACUCUGAAUAAAUGUAUUUCAGGCUAUAUAACUGCUUAAAUAAAUGUAUAGCUAUAGUGGUGCACUAAAUUUGGUACCUUUUUGUUAAUGGCUAUAUUUGGUUGCAAAUGAACAUAUUUUAAUGUUUAGUAUAAACAGCCAAUGAGAAUGAACCUUUGUGUAGGAAAAUAACUAAGGUAAAAUGCCAAACAAGAUGAAGAUCAAUUAUUUAAGUCAAGGUUUCCUGUUUGCUGAGUUAAAUCAUAAGUAAAAUCAGUGAUUUAAAUCACUGUGAUUGAAAUCAGUCCACCCUGGCAUGGGUCCUGUCAAUGGCCCCAAUAUAACUUGGGAAUUCCAACCAUGCCAAUCCAUUAAUAAACUUCUGUGCGCUGGCAAGCCUCAUGACCCCGGGGUAGCAGCACACUCUCAAUAGCAUGACGACAGUCUUGACAGUUGGGUCUAGCAACACCAAGCUGGUAAGCUACUGAGCAGCAGCAAUUGGGGGUGGCAAGCUUCAAGAUGGCAGUGUCCAUGUGCUUCUCCUUGAUGAGGUGAACUCUCAUGUUGGUGUUCUUUUAUUGUGCCUGUGUACUGAGCUCUGCACAGAUCUUAGGGAAAGUAACUGCCUGCGUCCUGACGUUGUGCCACCUUUGCUGGUCAUCCCAGUUCUGCAGCACUGUCCUGUCCCACUAGUCAGUGCUGGAAGGCCACACCCAGAAAUGGUAUUUUAUCAAGUGAAGCUGUUCCAGGAAAACGCCCUGCCAAAGUAUCAGCUCAAUUUUUUCAUCCUUCUCCUCAUCUAGCCAUCUCACUGUGUCUGUCUCCCAACCCAUCCAAAGCCGUUCAGUAGUAUGAAUGAUGAAACAUUUGGUGGAGCAGUUUGUUUCUGUUAAUGAUUCUCAGGAUUGCGGUAUUCAGUAGUGUUUCCUCGACUGCAGUUUGAAAAUAGUGCUGGCUU